CUUUGAUAACAAACAAAACACUGGUGCCUUAUAGGCGGUUAUGCCUUUUAAUUCCUCGAUUCAGGUAAAGUCAGUGUUUCAGUUUGGAUGCUAUGGCAACCGAGCAUUCUAAGCCUGUCACCGGAAUAUGUUACAGUGGACAUUAAUUCAUCAAAAUGCUUAACAUACUGCGGGGGGGAGGCACAUGAUUUUUGAACAGCCAAUAAGCUACUGCUGAGUACAUUUCCUUGAUAAAUCCAGGCCUCAGCAGCACUCUUGUGUGAAAUAGCCAUGUGUACGUUUCUUCCUUUUGGAGAUUGCAGAUAAACCUCUCUCUGCCUCUGUGCAACCUCUAAAUUAUCGGUGAUGGUCAGGAACGAGUUCUCCUUGAAGCAGAAAGUAGAGCUGAUUCCCCAAAGCGAAAGCAAGAGCCAGAGUCAGCGGAAAUCCUGCAAACCUACGAAGGCAACCGGGACACGGCUCGGAAAAGGUUGUGUGUUCGCAUGGUUACCUCAGCCUGGUUCUGUACCGCUGGUUGCAGCAAGUCCGAGCCCAGGGGCUAGCGGUCAAUAAAUAGGCCCGUCAUUCUGAAAGCAGCGCUGCACUUCGCCAAAGAGCUGGGCAUCCCGCACUUUAAGGCUUCCAACAGCUGGCUCCGAAGUUUCCGCAGCCGCAACAACAUCGGCUUUGAACGCUUUGGCGACCAGAGCACUGGGAUCCGGCGAGCCACACCUUGUCCUGCAGCAAUGCCGUCUAGAGGCGCUUUUAAACAUUUUCAGUUCCGCUCUGAUUGAGCGAGCAGGAUUUUCCUGACUCUCUGAAUGAAUUGCAGCCCGCCGUCCUGAGCUUGAACAGGGCAUUUGUUGGUUAUAAAGAGCUGCCAGCAGGGUAAAGGGCGAGUUAACCUUUCAGACGUUUCAGGCAAAGUUGUCAGGACGUACCAGCUAUUCUCCUGUGGUGCUGCCCUCAUCUUCUCUGAAUGCAGGUUCUCCUGUUUGGGUUGGGUCAGAAAACGAGGCAGUGCCUGGCCCGGCUGAUCUCGCUGUGGCAUCUGCUGAAUGGUCUGCUACCUCAGCAUCCAGCAACUGUCAGAGCAUGGGAAAGGAUUUGUAUUCACCAUCCAAUGCUGUAUCCACAUCAACCAGCUCCAACUGCCAAAGCUCUGUCCAUGAGCUCCCACAAUGAUUCUUAAUCUUGGCAUGUUCCUAAAUGAUCCUUGGAAUUAGGGAUAAGCAAUAAAUGACAGUGCCAUCCACAUCCCAUGAGUGAAUUUUUAGAAAGUCAUACACCUCAACAACAACUUACUAUUAACAGAGCAUCUUUAACAGCGUAAAACAUCCCAAGUUCUUGUGUUCAAGGCACUUCACAGGAGUGCUGUCAAACAAAGUUUAAUGCUGAGCCAUAUUUGGAGAUAUUAGAUGAUUGAAAUCUUGGUCAGAGAGGUAGUUAAAAUGGAGCAUUAGAGAGAGAGUGUGACAGUUUUGACAAGGGAAUUCUAGAGCUUAGGGCUUUAGUAACUGCUGGAAUGAUGAGCUAUGGAGGUGCGCAAUAAGGCAGAAAUAGAGGGACACACUGAUGCCAGAGGGUGGUAGGAUUGGAGGAGAAUAGAGAGGCAAGGAGGGCCAAGGCCCUGGAAGGAUUUGAAAAGAUGGAUGGUGAUUUUAAAACUGAGGAGUUGCUGGGCUCUGAGCCACUAAAUCAGUGGGCAUGUGUGUGGUGGGUCAUUAGGACAGGGAUAGGAAACCAACCAUAAGAACAUUGUCAAAUCCAGAGGUCACUGAAUUGUGAACAUAUUGAAUUGCAUAAUGACUGUCAGUCUCAUUGAAGGUCUUGUGCCAUGAACGUAGAUAUCAUAUCUGCCUGAAUGGUCGAAUAGUAUUUACAGAGAAGCAGGACAUAGCUGUUAACUAACCAUGACUGAUUAUUCAACCUUUAUUAUCUGUCUUCCUAUCUUUGCAAUAAGAUUUGGGCAGCACUGUGGCUCAAUGGUUAGCACUGCUGCCUCAAAGCGCCAGGGACCCGGGUUCAAUUCCACCCUC